rnacentral:tRNA from 1 species
GGUCAGGUAGCUCAGUCGGUAGAGCAACGGACUGAAAAUCCGUGUGUCGACGGUUCGAUUCCGCCCCUGACCACCA